CCCUUAGAUGUCCUGGGCUGCACGCGCGCUACACUGAUGUGUCCAGUAAGCACCUAACCUCUUCCGAAAGGAACGGGUAACCUUUGCAAAGCACAUCGUGAUGGGGAUAGAUUAUUGCAAUUAUUAGUCUUGAACGAGGGAUUCCUAGUAAGCACAAGUCAUCAGCUUGUGUUGAUUACGUCCCUGCCCUUUGUACACACCGCCCGUCGCUCCUACCGAUUGAAUGUUCCGGUGAGCUCUUCGGACUGCGCGGUCUGCAGUUUCUGCGUUCCGUGCGGAAAGUUGCGCAAACCUUAACAUUUAGAGGAAGGAGAAGUCGUAACA
rnacentral:rRNA from 1 species